rnacentral:lncRNA from 1 species
CCCCACUCUUGGCUAACUGAAAGAUGCCACCGAUGAGGUUUCCUUUUUCUAGCCAAAGCACCUUUCUUAUUCACAGGGACUAGGCAAGGUACCUGGUAUUUUCCUGCCGGGCUGGAAUGAAAAAGUCAAAUAAAGAUCAGGUAUAAUCCUAACCAACUGUUUCUUUGCAGGAACAUGGGUGAAGCUGGAAGCAGUGGUUGUCAGCAAACUGACAGAGGACCAGAAGACCAAACUCCACAUGUUCUCACUCCUAAGUGGAAAUGAGAACACAUGGUCACAGGGGAGGGGAACAUCACACACUGGAGCCUGAAGGGGGUUGGGGGCCGAGGGGAGAGAGGACAACUGCGUCAUACAUAAUGCCCGCCGGGCUUAAAAUCUAGACGGCCUGGUUGAGAGGUGCCGCCAACCACCGUGGCACAUGUAUACCUAUGUAUUCCAGAAGAAAGAAGAAAGAAAAAAGGAAAAAGGAAGAGAAAGAAGUUUAAAGUUGAGGGUGGGCAAAAGUAGCGGACCCCACAGCAGUGGGCUGCCAAGCUAGGAUGUGAGAACCUUCCAGAAACAAUUGUACAGGCUUCCUACCCAGAAACAGAAAACGAGUAUAGCAUUUCCAAAGCCCUGGUGCUGUACAGCAGAAGCGUUUCUCAGGAGCCGGCCACGAACCCACCAAGAAACCGGCGAACGCUUAUGCAGAAACAUCAGAAGGCCAUUGGAAUAACCAAACAAGCCCACGCCGCAAAAUUCGUCUAACUUUGCAAACAGAUUGUGUCCCCCCGAAGGGGUGCACCGUUCCUGGAAGUACCUGCAAUACCAGGUCGAUGCGUGGAGUGGACGGAGCAAGCUCCUAUUCCAUCUCCCUGCUCCAAUCCAUUUAAUAUAUUGUCCUCGGAUAGAGGACGUAUCAGAUAUUAAACUGAUAAGAACAGAUACUACACUUGAUCUUAGCCAAAAGGCCGAGAAGCGAUAACCACUACCGCCACGCAGGCCACGACUCACAUUCGUCCACUCACCCUGAGCUCACGGUAAGAAAUAUCAUCUUCAAGUAAAGAAGCCCUCUCUUCCCUACCUUCACACGGUACUCAUUGUUACAAUUUGCAACGUUGUAUAAGUAAUACGGUUACAAGUUUGGGGGGAUAUUUACU